CGAAAGCCUGACGGAGCAAUACCGCGUGAGGGAAGAAGGCUUUUGGGUUGUAAACCUCUUUUGUCAGGGAAGAAGAAUUGACGGUACCUGAAGAAAAAGCAUCGGCUAACUCCGUGCCAGCAGCCGCGGUAAUACGGAGGAUGCAAGCGUUAUCCGGAAUCAUUGGGCGUAAAGGGUCCGCAGGUGGCGAAUAAAGUCUGCUGUUAAAGACCGGGGCUUAACUCCGGAAAGGCAGUGGAAACUGAUUAGCUAGAGUAAGGUAGGGGUAGAGGGAAUUCCCAGUGUAGCGGUGAAAUGCGUAGAUAUUGGGAAGAACACCGGUGGCGAAAGCGCUCUACUAGGCCGAAACUGACACUGAGGGACGAAAGCUAGGGUAGCGAAAGGGAUUAGAUACCCCUGUAGUCUUAGCGGUAAACGAUGGAUACUAGGUGUAGCUUGUAUCGACCCGAGCUGUGCCGAAGCUAACGCGAUAAGUAUCCCGCCUGGGGAGUACGCACGCAAGUGUGAAACUCAAAGGAAUUGACGGGGGCCCGCACAAGCGGUGGAGUAUGUGGUUUAAUUCGAUGCAACGCGAAGAACCUUACCAGGGCUUGACAUGUCGCGAAUCUAGCGGAAACGUUAGAGUGCCUUAGGGAAUGCGAACACAGGUGGUGCAUGGCUGUCGUCAGCUCGUGUCGUGAGAUGUUGGGUUAAGUCCCGCAACGAGCGCAACCCUCGUCCUUAGUUGCCAAUGUUAAGUUAGGCACUCUAGGGAGACUGCCGGGGACAACUCGGAGGAAGGUGGGGAUGACGUCAAGUCAGCAUGCCCCUUACGUCCUGGGCUACACACGUACUACAAUGGUUGGGACAAAGGGCAGCAAGCUCGCGAGAGUAAGCGAAUCUCAUCAAACCCAGCCACAGUUCAGAUUGCAGGCUGCAACUCGCCUGCAUGAAGUAGGAAUCGCUAGUAAUCGCAGGUCAGCAUACUGCGGUGAAUUCGUUCCCGGGCCUUGUACACACCGCCCGUCACACCAUGGAAGCUGGCUACGCCCGAAGUCGUUACCCUAACCCGGUUUUGGGAGGGGGAUGCCGAAGGUAGAGCUAGUGACUGGGGUGAAGUCGUAACAAGGUAGCCGUACCGGAAGGUGUGGCUGGAUCACCUCCUUU
rnacentral:rRNA from 1 species